GAUCUUAUUGGUAAGUUGAUGGCUUGGCGUUGGAACUGGAUUUCAAAUGUCAGAAAAAUAGGACGCAAGCUGAAAAUUUAGAGGCACUGAUAUGCUUCCAUUUUUCCAUAUUAUUCAAGUCGUGUCUAAGAUAAAACUCAUAGUAUAAAGGAGUAGUUUUGAUGCUGCAUCUCUAAAAGUGGGACAUGAUUCCCUUCCAGUUCUGCCUUAAGCAAUACAUACAGAAUAAGUCGCAUGCUUCAUGUAUUGCAACCACAAUUCAAAUAAAAAUGUCAUGAAAAUCAAAUUAAAGUGCCUGAAUGCUUUUGGCUUAUUGCUGGCUUUGUAUUGACUACCUCAGGGAUUAAUUAUGCAUGCCAUAGCCGUCAGCACCUGUAGGAAAGCCAUACAAGAAUCAUCAAAUAAGGUCAUGUUUACUUGUCUGUUUGUAUGUAAAAUUUGUUGUAUAAAAUAUCUGUGCAUAUUGACGGUUAAUCUGGCAUCAAAACAUAUGCCCCAUGUCAUGCAGCAUUCAAUAUACUAAAAUGCGAAUCUAACUUAGUGGAGGAAUGCCUUGUCUCGGUGUGUGGAAGCGAUGGUGGAACUUGGAAUAGACAUAUACCAUACCUCAUGCAUUGACAUUCUCAACUUGGGAUCGCAGUCGAGACAUUGCUCUGCCAGACGAACCAUCCAAAACAACUGGUAAAGGUCAACAGAAUCUUGCACUGCAGGAUCUAUCAGUUCCAUGUACUUUUUCUCACUCAGGAUUGGUCUCGCCUGAGGAAAAAAACAGAGAUCCAUUGGGGCCCAAUGACUUGAAGAUAGAUUUCGUCCAAAGUAAAGAUUUUAGAUUAAGGAUCUUCAAAAUAAGAAUGCUGUAGUUAUUACCCAUCUCAAGAAGCUUUGCCCCUUUGUAUCUUCAAG
rnacentral:lncRNA from 1 species